GAGGAAACUUUGGAAGAAAACAAUAAGGUUAGAAGGAACCCAUGUGCUUUGAUGAAAUAGAGCACCAUCGGGUAAGUAUAUAUUUAAAUAUUAUGGUGACACGCGAAUGAGGUGCGAACUUUAUAUUAUAUUUAUAAACAUGUCAAGGAAGGAAGAAGAAGAAAAAUUAGAAUUUUAAAAGUGAUGGAAGGAUUCAAUAAAAGGAAUGAGAACUUAGAAGGGCUAAAUGCUGACUUUUCUUUCUCUCAUUCUUCUUCCACAUGGUCUGUCAUCCAUGCUAUGGUUGUUGGAAAAAUUGGUACAUGUAGGGAAAGAGAGGAUUGGAAAAUAAUUAUAGGGAAAAAGACAAAGAAACCUACAUAUGUUGACUAGCCAACUCACCUUGAAACUUCUUGAAUUUUCUUCAUGCUUCCACCCUUUGGCCGGCCAAAAAGGGAGAGACCUUUUCUAUUUUUUUUUCUUCUUAUCAUGUUCAACACUAGAACUUUCUCUUUCCUUUGUCAUUAAGCAUUCUCUUCUUUCUUUCUUUCACCCACCGUCACUUGCACCUUGUGAAGAAAUUCUUCCUCCCAAACCGUGGCUUCACCAUAAUCAGCCAAACCUCAAGCUUUUUUCUCCAUUUUAUCCCUUGUUUCUUCCUUUUUAUCCUUCCUCUACAUGAAGUUCUUUCCUUUUCCUUCCCCAUACCUGAAAUUAUAGUGGAUUUGUGAGUUGAUUCAAGAGUUCUAAGCAAAGGAAAUUUAGGUGUGAGAACUGAUGCCUUGGAGUGGGAAAAAUCCAGCAAAAUCCAGGAACUAUAUACUUGAAUGGUAGCAAAUUAGCAUCCCAAAAUUUUAAGGGAGAUUCGAGAGUAAGCCGGUUGUCAUUCCGGUUAAUUGUGACCCUUAUGCACAAAUGAGCUCUAGCUAGAGAACUUUUGGGUAGCCGACGAGUUGUUAGACAUGCUAGGGCCAAGGUUUGUGAUUUUACAUGGCUAGGCCACAAAUGAUUAUAUGCAGUUGUGACCACUUGAUUUUUCUCUGAUGUCAACCAACAUCAUUGAGAUAGCCAUGGCAUAUGGGGAUCUGGUGCAAUGGAGCUGCCGGAUACUAUGAUGUGGAAACGGGUCCACAUGUUGUUAUUUUGUACCUACUCGAGAGUGAUAUUUCUUUUGGUUUUUGUAUAAGUAAUCAAUUUUAAGAUUUUGUUCAGCAUCUUGAAGUUAGCUACAAUCUAGGUAAUGGCAUCUCUAGACUUCCACUUAAAGUCGCUCCGCUGCCUAGAGGUUGGUUUGUGUCAAAUAGUCUGGCUUGUAAUGAUUAAUAGUUACUGAAAAUGUACUGGUUAGAACUUAAGGUUAUGUAAUGACUACUACAUAUUAUGUUGAAAUCGUAUGGAAUUAUCAAA